CCAGACUCCUACGGGAGGCAGCAGUGGGGGAUAUUGGACAAUGGGGGGAACCCUGAUCCAGCGACGCCGCGUGAGUGAAGAAGUAUCUCGGUAUGUAAAGCUCUAUCAGCAGGGAAGAAAGAAAUGACGGUACCUGAGUAAGAAGCCCCGGCUAACUACGUGCCAGCAGCCGCGGUAAUACGUAGGGGGCAAGCGUUAUCCGGAUUUACUGGGUGUAAAGGGAGCGUAGACGGCAGUGCAAGUCUGAAGUGAAAGCCCCGGGCUUAACCCGGGAAUUGCUUUGGAAACUGUACGGCUGGAGUGCUGGAGAGGUAAGCGGAAUUCCUAGUGUAGCGGUGAAAUGCGUAGAUAUUAGGAGGAACACCAGUGGCGAAGGCGGCUUACUGGACAGUAACUGACGUUGAGGCUCGAAAGCGUGGGGAGCAAACAGGAUUAGAUACCCCUGUAUC
rnacentral:rRNA from 1 species